rnacentral:lncRNA from 1 species
UUUUAUAAUAGUUUCCUUUAAUUUUUAAUUAUAUAUUACUAUUUUAAUUCAUAGAGACAUUUUUACUCCUCAAUUUAACAAUAAAAUUGACAGACAUUAACAGUAAAACCAUCUUGAUACAAAAAAAAAAAAAAAAAAAAGUUGAAGGACGGUUCAAAUGAAAAUUUUAGUUGGUGGACCAAAAUGAUACUGGAGCAAUAGUUGGGGGACUAUUGGGAUCAAUAACCCUUUUAGAGGAUGAUACUCACCUAAAAAUACG